AUCGAGAUCAGCUUUAAACUGAUGGAUUAAAAGAGCUGAACUGAGAAGCUCAUGUAAACACACUCAGGAAUGAAUGGGCAAUCCUCCGAGACUCUGGGUAAAGUAGAUAUUUCAGCAGCUUUUAUAUCAAUACUGCUGGAAUCUGCAAACUAAUCUAGUAGGACUUCAGGUUUACCAUCCAGUUACCACCAAUACAAUAUUGCAAGUUCAGUGAUGAAGAAGAUGUAAAGCUCUGGGUCUAUGGAUGGUUCUAGAUGGAUGAAUCAACAAUGACAAACACUCCUUUUCCAACACAGGUUGAACCACAGCCAAACUUCAGAGGGUCUGAUCAUUCAUCAUGCACUUAUAGUAAAGCUUGAUUGGUUAUUUUUGGCAGAUUUGAAUGAAUGAUCAUUAAUUUCUGUGUGAGCUGAUGACUAAAUACAGUUUACUGAAUCAAAGACAGAUACACAAGGUCAGAUCAGUGCGUUACAAUUUAGUUAUUUAGUUCACAACAUCUUACCUGUCCAUGAGUGAGUGGAUAUCCUGCAUGACAGGGACUGUCUAGUCUAUUCACACGUCCCACAGCUCUGAUUUUAUUGACUGUAUGACCCAAACACAGACUUUAUUUUGUAGGAGAAACACAACAACUAACUUAAUUUUAUGUAGUAUAUAUAAAUAUACAUAUCAGUAUUUUAAAGUUAGCUGAAGUCUAAAGUUAGUUUUUCUUUGUUGCAGAAAAUAAGUCAUUUAUAAUGAGAGGUGCUUAUCACUUUAAG